rnacentral:rRNA from 1 species
AAUGAACGUUGGCGGUGUGGAUUAGGCAUGCAAGUCGUGCGCGAACUGUAGCAAUACAGGGAGAGCGGCGAAAGGGAGAGUAAUACAUAGGUACCUACCCCCGGGUCUGGGAUAGCGGCGGGAAACUGCCGGUAAUACCAGAUGACGUCCCCGGACCAAAGGUGUGAUUCCGCCUGGGGAGGGGCCUGUGGCCUAUUAGCUUGUUGGUGAGGUAACGGCUCACCAAGGCAAAGAUGGGUAUGGGGCGUGAGAGCGUGCCCCCACUCACUGGGACUGAGAUACUGCCCAGACACCUACGGGUGGCUGCAGUCGAGAAUCUUCGGCAAUGGGCGCAAGCCUGACCGAGCGACACCGCGUGCGGGAUGAAGGCCUUCGGGUUGUAAACCGCUGUCGUAGGGGAGGAAGAGUCUGCGAAGAGCAGAAUCGGACCGAUCCUAGGAGGAAGGGCCGGCUAAUCUCGUGCCAGCCGCCGCCGUAACAC